rnacentral:lncRNA from 1 species
AGAGCUACAAACUGGAAAGUCAUGGGAAGGUGUCGAGUAAGGCCACUGAAUGGUCGUUGAGACGCCAUGAGACAGUGCAGCUUUCAGCUACGAAAGCCGAGGGUUUCGGUCACUCCAGGGAAGAGGGUUCGUUUGUGAUUCAUGAAGGCACCCAGAGCAGGAAGCGCAUCUUUGCAUCCUGAUUACCAAAGCUCGCCCGUCAGGUUCGACACUGUUUCGUCGCGCGGCUGUUGUCACCUCAUCCGUCAAAAGAGAGGAAGAUAAUGGUGAAAAAGAGAAGAAGGAGAAGGGACUGAGUCCACGGGGAAUGGCAACAGUCCAGGGAUCUGCAUCAAACUGCACAAGGGUUUAGCAAGGAGGCAUGAAUGAUCAACGUGGCGGCGCGCCUUUGACUCAAGGCAUGCCGCCUAUUUUUAGUUGAGGCUGGUAUCCGUACAGCAUCAUCGUCUGUGGAAAUCUGUAUCUGUUUCACGGUAAAUGUAGCGUGAGUACUUUCUCGAUAGUGAAGCUGAUUUCUGAUCUGCAUUUGCCGGUAUCCAACCGUGGCUGCUCGUGGUUCGCAACCGUUCCUCGCAUCCGCCAGUCACUGAAGAGAACUAUGGAGCUAUAGGGGGCAUGUAACUAAGAGCUAAAUGGGCCUGGUGUUGUGAAUCGCAGUGGACUCUUUUAUCUGUCCUUCGAGUACAACUGUACGUCAGUAGCGCGGCGGUGUGACUGCGCAUCGGUAUGCUAUGUGCAGCGUUCAUCACGAUAUUCAGCUGUCGAACAGAGAGUCGAUCUACAGCUACGGGGGCUCUUUUGGUAUCGGAAAGGAUUACGUCAGUCGCUCUCACGCGCCACCGGACAGGCAUUCAGGGAAUAUUUUCCGCCAUCGACAGCGUGUGUGCAAUGUGGUAGUGGGGCAAACACACAUAACAAGAGUUUGAAUCCUGGUCUAUUCGCCUCAUCACCCAAAUUUGGCUGCGUGUGGUGGUGAUCAGGAACGCCUGCACAAUUUUGAUAUGCCUUGUUCGGCAUCCAGUCUGCAUCCCAGAACCAGAGUCCACGAGUCUGCAGCUGGCAGGGGCAGCAGCAUCCUACUUGUUCAACGUGAUGUCCUUUCCUCUGACGCUUCAGGUCGUCCUAGGAUGGUCGAGUAGCCCCGGGAUGGACUAAAUGAAACACAGCGAAGAACCUCUGCUAAACAGAUGUGAAGUUUGUCA